CGUAUCCUAACCUUCCCCGUUAGUAGGGCAUAGCCCGGCGAAAGUCGGAUUAAUACCCUAUGUUAUCCAGCGAUGGCAUCUGAAUUGGAUUAAAGGUUACCGCUAAGGGAUGGGGAUGCGUCUGAUUAGGUGUUGGCGGGGUAACGGCCCACCAAGCCAUCGAUCAGUAGGGGUUCUGAGAGGAAGGUCCCCCACAUUGGAACUGAGACACGGUCCAAACUCCUACGGGAGGCAGCAGUGAGGAAUAUUGGUCAAUGGGCGAGAGCCUGAACCAGCCAAGUAACGCGUGCAGGGAGACGGCCCUAUGGGUUGUAAACUGCUUUUAUACAGGGAUAAAGUCGGGGACGUGUCCCCGUUUGCAGGUACUGUAUGAAUAAGGACCGGCUAAUUCCGUGCCAGCCGCUGC
rnacentral:rRNA from 1 species